GACGUAGGGUGCGAGCGUUGUCCGGAUUUAUUGGGCGUAAAGAGCUCGUAGGCGGUUUGUCGCGUCGGGAGUGAAAACCCAGGGCUUAACCCUGGGCUGGCUUCCGAUACGGGCAGACUAGAGGUAUGCAGGGGAGAACGGAAUUCCUGGUGUAGCGGUGAAAUGCGCAGAUAUCAGGAGGAACACCGGUGGCGAAGGCGGUUCUCUGGGCAUUACCUGACGCUGAGGAGCGAAAGUGUGGGGAGCGAACAGG
rnacentral:rRNA from 1 species